GUCCUUAGUAGAAUACUCUAGAAAUAUAUUGAAGAAUUCUUUGGAAGAUCUUAGAGUUUCAUGGAUUUACAUGAAAAUCCCUUAGAAUAUCCUAGUUGUAUAGAAUAUUCUAGAAUGUAGACUUUUUGUGAAUAUGUAAGGACUUACAUAAUAAUUAUUAUUUAUAUAUUAACCCUAAAUUAGUUAUAUAAAUAGAGUGCAACCAUUUGUAAAUUGACAAGCAAUAUAGCAAUCUGUUGGGGUAAUUUGCCUCGUGAGCUAUUGAGAGGUACUAAUGAGGAUUAAGGCAUCCGAGAAAAAAUGUGGCUGCUUUUACUGGCGUUCCGUGUCUCCUUGAAGCAGCUUUGGAGCAUACACUUGAAGAAAGUGAAAAUUGGAAGCAAUAGAGAAGAUGUUAGCAGAUUAUAUAUACAAAGCCUCUUUUUAAGAGUUCUGUGUUACUUUCAAUCAAACCUUUUAUUCAGGGGCGGAGCUACUUACUUCGAAGUAUAGUUUUUUGUGUAAAUACUUAUAAAAAUAAGUGGAUGGUUAAUUGGUUUAUUGGUAAAUAAAUACAUGUCUGAUUCUCUUUUUGAAAGAAAAACAUAUACUUGCAUAAGUUUCUCCUUUA